CAAAUGCACACAGGAGCAGAGGGGCCACCUGAGGGGAGAGGGACCAAGCCCCCAGGGCUCUGGCUUUGAGAUUUGCCGUGAAUAAAAAUCUACGGAUAACCUGAGUGAGGUGGCACAAAGGAAUCAGGAAGCUUUUGAGAGAGAAUCCACCCUAAGGCUGGGGGAAAUAGAAGCAGUGGGUGGGCUUCUACUCCAAAGGCCAGGUAUUAAAGGGUCAGGGUUCUGAAACUGCAAAGAGACUGCCCCCAUAUGAGUAUAUCUGAACCCUUGCCGUGGGUAACCCCUCCUGAGAACUGCCUCCUGAGACCAUGAAGACCACUGCCCGGAUCCCACCAGCAGAGGUAACGGCAGCAGCUACUGCCCUGAGCAGAAUCCCUGAAGCCACCCAGGGCAGAUGUGCGGGAUGGGGGACCCAUGUUCAAAUCGCAGGGCUUCGAAGACCCACUGCAUGCUUUACUAUGGAUCCCAUCACUGUGAACUUGGCCGUCUGGGGAGAUAUAAAAUUGUUCCGUCUACACCUUUUUGACUAGGUCUCCCAUCCACCAAUGAAGGAAAAUGAGCGGUGAGAUCAAGAUGUCACCGGGGAGACAAACCACUGAUUUCUCAAGAUGCACAAGUGGUUGGUUAUCCACCCCAGCAAAUUCACAGAAAUGCCUGACCCUGGGGCAUGCAUUUCCCAAACUCAAUUUCAAUGUCUUAAAACUGUUUGGACUUGAGGAUAGUGAGCCAUGCUAGCAAAACUUAUAAGAAACUGAUAUGUUAACAACACAAUGAAUUAACAUUACGAUUAUGAUCACGGCUGAAGACUUACUGUGGGUCAGGCAUUCAGCAGGACACUUUUCUGCAUUAUGUGUGCUUUUCCUUGUUUCUCAUGCCUACCCAUACCUAUGAGAUGGUGACUCUUCUCAUCCUCAUUUUUCAGAAGUGGAAGCUGAGCUCCAGGUCUCACAUAUUGUAAAUGGCAGAGCCAUUUUUCAAACUCAGGAACCACUUCUCCAUUUACGUUUUGGCCAUUCCUCUCUGUUGCCAAGACAAGCAUAAGUGCCAAGCCAUCAAGAAAAGCCCUGUCCUAUGCUUUCUCUGCACAGGCAGAUUUUCGGAAGGGUGCUCACUGAGGCUGGAAUCCAAACGCGGGGAGCACUGUGAUGUGAGUCUCUCAGGGCCUCCCUCGGUGGCUGGAUGUACCUGCCAGGCUAUCCCUCUCAGAGCACCUUCCCUCUGAAGCCCAGGGGGUCCUGUCCAGGCUGCUUUGGGAUGCUCCCUGUUCUGUUUUCCUGAUGCAGGCUGGAAAACCCCCAACAUAGCCAUGUGCAACCCUUAAGUUCCACUAGGUGCUGGCCUUCUGUCUCUUUGAGAAGACUUUGAAAAUCUGUGUUCUAAUCUAAUCUGUGCUCAAAAGGUGGGAGAUAAUGGAUGAUUCCACUUAUAUGAGGUCCAUAGCAAUAGACCAAUUCAUACAGAGAUAGAACAGAAUAGAGGUUACCAGAGACUGAGAGGUGACGGGAAUAGGGACUUGUUGUUUAAUGGGUACAGAGUUUCUAUUGGGGAUGAUGAAAAAGUUAUAGAUAGAUAGAUAGAUAGAUAGAUAGAUAGAUAGAUAGAUAGACAGACAGACAGCGGUGAUGGUUACCCAGCAUUGUGAAUGGAUUUAAUGCUACUGAACUGUGCCUUUAUGAAUGCUUAUGAAUGCUUAAAAUGAUACAUCUUAUGAUAUUUUUACCAUAAUAAAAAGAUAAAUAAAUAACAUCUGAUAUAUGCUGCAACAUAGAUAUACCUUAAAGACAUCACGCUAGGUGAAAUAAGCCAGACACAGAAGGACAAAUACUGUGUGACUGCACUUAUGUGAGAUACCUAGAGUGGUCAUAUAUUUCUAGAGACAGAACGUGGAAUGGUGGUUUCCAGGGGCUGGGGGAAGAAGAGAAUGAGGAGUUGGUGUUUCAUAGGUAUGGAGUUUCAGUUAGGGAUGAUGAAAAAAUACCCAGAGCUGGAUGGUGGUGAUGGUUGCACAAGGUUAUGAAUGCGCUCAAUGUCACUGAAAUGUACAUUUUAAAUGGUUAGAAUGGUAAAUUUUAUGUUAUGUAUAUUUUACUCCAAUGAACAAUUUUUAAUAAAUGAGGAAGAAGGUAUUUUGCCC
rnacentral:lncRNA from 1 species